rnacentral:rRNA from 1 species
GAUGAACGCUGGCGGCGUGCCUAAUACAUGCAAGUCGAGCGAACGGACGAGAAGCUUGCUUCUCUGAUGUUAGCGGCGGACGGGUGAGUAACACGUGGAUAACCUACCUAUAAGACUGGGAUAACUUCGGGAAACCGGAGCUAAUACCGGAUAAUAUUUUGAACCGCAUGGUUCAAUAGUGAAAGACGGUCUUGCUGUCACUUAUAGAUGGAUCCGCGCUGCAUUAGCUAGUUGGUAGGGUAACGGCUUACCAAGGCAACGAUGCGUAGCCGACCUGAGAGGGUGAUCGGCCACACUGGAACUGAGACACGGUCCAGACUCCUACGGGAGGCAGCAGUAGGGAAUCUUCCGCAAUGGGCGAAAGCCUGACGGAGCAACGCCGCGUGAGUGAUGAAGGUCUUCGGAUCGUAAAACUCUGUUAUUAGGGAAGAACAAAUGUGUAAGUAACUGUGCACGUCUUGACGGUACCUAAUCAGAAAGCCACGGCUAACUACGUG